rnacentral:lncRNA from 1 species
AUGGGGGCGAGGCGGGCGGCCCCGCGGGGAGAGGCCGGGGGCGGGUGCGGGCGGCCGGGGCCUAGCGCUCAGCCGGGCGCCGCCGCCGCCGCCAUCGCGGCCGCCGCUCCCGCGGGGCGGGGGAACGGGGCCGCGGUCGGGUGCUCACCUGCCCGUCCUCGGCGGCGCGGGUGGGAGAAGGAGGGGGAGAGGGAAGGAAGCGGGGGCCCCCCCCGCUCCUCCCGGAGCCUCGGCGACCCGGGGAGGGAAGGGGGGGAGGAGGGGAAGGGAGGAGGGAAGAGGAGCAGGAGGAGGGAGCCGGGCGCUCCGGUGCGUGCGAGGAGCCGGAGCCUGGCGGCGGGAGGAGGAGACUCCCCGCCCCUACGGCCGGGCUCUCUGGCGGGCACCUCCGGCCCCUCCUCCGCCGCGCUCCGCCUCGCCCCGCUGCCUGCGGGCGCUCGGGUGAGGCGAGGCAAGGCGCGGCGAGGCGAGGUGAGGCGCCGAGAAGCUCCCAGCAGCUCCGCGCCCGAUCAGAGGCCGCGGGGAGGAGCCGGGCAGCCCCAUCCUCGGCGGCGCCGCGCACCGAGCCAACAUGGUGGCGGCCGCGCGGGGCGGAGGGGAGGCGAGGGGCAGCCCCCGAUCGGGGCCUUUCGGGGAGGGCUGCCCGGAGCCCGGCUGCCUUCCUCCUGCUUGAUGAUGUUCAGGAUGAGGAAGGAGGAGCUGCACUCAUCUGCUGUAGCAUGUGUGGAAAACAGCGUGAGAUGCUGCUGCUGUCGUUUGCUGCUACCAGGUGCUGGGUACCAUUUCCUGACCAGUGUUCAGGCAAGAUCAGUGUCUGUGAACUCAUCAGCUGCACUGCAUUUCUGGUAUUCCAGGAAAAAUGCUGCUGUUAAGCAGGUCGCGCACUCUUGCUCAGAAAAGAAAGGAACAAACAGCAAGAGAAAAAGAAAUACAUGUGUUAAAGCUGACCUGAACUACUUUUGGUUUUGACAUCAAUGCUUGAGUCAUUCAGAGCCUUUAAGAGACUUCUCACUUCACUUACCAGCCCCUGUAAAGGAGCAGUUUCUGCUGACUUUGGGAGAUUUAUGUAUUAGUUAUACUUAUUAAGAUAUUGUUGUACGUUGUGUUGACUGCCUAAGAUAGUACUGUGGAAGAAACUCUUAAUAUUAUUAACU